rnacentral:sRNA from 1 species
AUAAGAAGAAUAAAAAACAAAAACGCAAUAAAAACAAAACACAAUUUUUGGAAAUAUGCACGCCUUCUCUCAGUACGAUGGACACGAUUUCUGCUUUU